rnacentral:rRNA from 1 species
GACCUGCCCUGCAAAGAAAGCCCCGGUUAAUUAUGUGCCACCAGCCGCGGUAAUACCUCCGGUGCUUGCGUUGUCUGGAAUUAUUGGGCGUAAUCAGCUCGUAUGUGGUUCGUCGCGUCUGAUGUGAAAGUCUGGGGCUCAACCCCGCACCUGCAUUCUGUUCUGACUAGCUUUAGUGUGGGAAGGGAGACUGUAAUUCCUGGUGUAGCGGUGGAAUGCACAGAUAUAAGAAGGAACACCGAUGGCGAACGCCUGUCUCUGGGCCCUUACUGACACUGACGAACGAAUGCGUGGGGAGCGAAAUUGAUUACAUUGCCUGGCCGUCCACGACACAGAGGGCGGUAGCUGUGUGUGCCAACUAACGGGAUCCUCUCCGACGCUAAUGCCUUAUUUGCCCCCCCUGGUGGGUAGUGCCAUCGCAAUAUUAAUCCUC